AUUGAACGCUGGCGGCAGGCCUAACACAUGCAAGUCGUACGGUAGCACAGAGGAGCUUGCUCCUCGGGUGACGAGUGGCGGACGGGUGAGUAAUGUCUGGGGAUCUGCCCGAUAGAGGGGGAUAACCACUGGAAACGGUGGCUAAUACCGCAUAACGUCGCAAGACCAAAGAGGGGGACCUUCGGGCCUCUCACUAUCGGAUGAACCCAGAUGGGAUUAGCUAGUAGGCGGGGUAACGGCCCACCUAGGCGACGAUCCCUAGCUGGUCUGAGAGGAUGACCAGCCACACUGGAACUGAGACACGGUCCAGACUCCUACGGGAGGCAGCAGUGGGGAAUAUUGCACAAUGGGCGCAAGCCUGAUGCAGCCAUGCCGCGUGUAUGAAGAAGGCCUUCGGGUUGUAAAGUACUUUCAGCGGGGAGGAAGGCGAUGUGGUUAAUAACCGCAUUGAUUGACGUUACCCGCAGAAGAAGCACCGGCUAACUCCGUGCCAGCCGCCGCAGUAG
rnacentral:rRNA from 1 species